AACAACAACAACAACAACAACUACAUCACCAACAACUCCUCCUAUUCUCUUUGAAUACAUCAUUGUGGUUGAGUUGAACACCACAGAUGUCACUCUAAUAAAUCAACUGAGUACCAUUCUGAGAAGCAUCCGUUACCCCGUUAUCCUCAACAAUGCACAAAUCCUUGAUGUAAACAUUUCUACAGUUUGCUCUCCGAGCAGUGCUGGUUACCAGUGCAGAUGUGAGGAUCAGUAUCGUUGGUCAUGUGACCAGUGUUUACAGUAUACAUCCUGUGACAACAUCACUGGUGACACAUGUGGAUGCAUCAAUGCCAUUCCUCCUGAUGGACAAUACUGCCAGCCUUCUGGUCAAAACAACAUUCCAGCUUGUAUUGCUACAACAACUCCACCUUCAACAACUCCACCUUCAACAACUCCACCUUCAACAACGCCACC